AGCGAACGUUAGCGGCAGGCUUAACACAUGCAAGUCGAGCGAGAACGGGGCUUCGGUCCUUAGUAAAGCGGCGGACGGGUGAGUAACACGUAGGUAAUCUUCCCUUGAGCGGGGGACAACGUUCCGAAGGGGACGCUAAUACCGCAUACGUUCUUUGGGGGCAUUCCUGAAUAACCAAAGAUUUAUUGCUGAAAGAUGGUCUCGCGUCUGAUUAGCUAGAUGGCGGGGUAACGGCCCACCAUGGCGACGAUCAGUAGCCGGUCUGAGAGGAUGAACGGCCACAUUGGGACUGAGAUACGGCCCAGACUCCUACGGGAGGCAGCAGUGGGGAAUAUUGGGCAAUGGGCGAAAGCCUGACCCAGCAACGCCGCGUGAAGGAAGAAGGCCUUCGGGUUGUAAACUUCUUUUACCAGGGACGAAUUUUGACGGUACCUGGAGAAAAAGCAACGGCUAACUACGUGCCAGCCGCCGCAGUAAGAC
rnacentral:rRNA from 1 species